AUACGUAGGGGGCAAGCGUUAUCCGGAUUUACUGGGUGUAAAGGGAGCGUAGACGGAAAGCCAAGUCUGAUGUGAAAGGUGGGGGCUCAACCCCCAAACUGCAUUGGAAACUGGUUUGCUAGAGUGUCGGAGAGGUAAGUGGAAUUCCUAGUGUAGCGGUGAAAUGCGUAGAUAUUAGGAGGAACACCAGUGGCGAAGGCGGCUUACUGGACGAUUACUGACGUUGAGGCUCGAAAGCGUGGGGAGCAAACAGGAUUAGAUACCCUGGUAGUCCACGCGGUAAACGAUGAAUACUAGGUGUCGGGUGGCAACAGCCAUUCGGUGCCGCAGCAAACGCAAUAAGUAUUCCACCUGGGGAGUGCGUUCGCAAGAAUGAAACUCAAAGGAAUUGACGGGG
rnacentral:rRNA from 1 species